UACGAAGGGGGCUAGCGUUGCUCGGAAUUACUGGGCGUAAAGGGUGCGUAGGCGGCGCGGUAAGUCGGGGUGUGAAAUCUCGGAGCUUAACUCCGAAACUGCAUUCGAUACUGCCGUGCUUGAGGACUGGAGAGGAGACUGGAAUUCAUGGUGUAGCAGUGAAAUGCGUAGAGAUCAUGAGGAAGACCAGUGGCGAAGGCGGGUCUCUGGACAGUUCCUGACACUGAGACACGAAGGCCAGGGGAGCAAACGGGG
rnacentral:rRNA from 1 species